rnacentral:rRNA from 1 species
AGGAAUAUUGGUCAAUGGACGCAAGUCUGAACCAGCCAUGCCGCGUGAAGGAUGAAGGUCCUCUGGAUUGUAAACUUCUUUUAUCUGGGACGAAAACGGGAUUUUUAUCUCAAUUGACGGUACCAGAGGAAUAAGCACCGGCUAACUCCGUGCCAGCAGCCGCGGUAAUACGGAGGGUGCGAGCGUUAUCCGGAUUUACUGGGUUUAAAGGGUGCGUAGGUGGGCUUAUAAGUCAGUGGUGAAAUCUCCGAGCUUAACUUGGAAACUGCCGUUGAUACUAUUUGUCUUGAAUAUUGCGGAGGUGAGCGGAAUAUGUCAUGUAGCGGUGAAAUGCUUAGAUAUGACAUAGAACACCAAUUGCGAAGGCAGCUUACUACACAAUCAUUGACACUGAGGCACGAAAGCGUGGGUAGCGAACA